rnacentral:rRNA from 1 species
AUUGAACGCUGGCGGCAGGCUUAACACAUGCAAGUCGAGCGGGGUGAUGGUGCUUGCACUAUCACUUAGCGGCGGACGGGUGAGUAAUGCUUAGGAAUCUGCCUAUUAGUGGGGGACAACAUCUCGAAAGGGAUGCUAAUACCGCAUACGUCCUACGGGAGAAAGCAGGGGAUCACUUGUGACCUUGCGCUAAUAGAUGAGCCUAAGUCGGAUUAGCUAGUUGGUGGGGUAAAGGCCUACCAAGGCGACGAUCUGUAGCGGGUCGGAGAGGAUGAUCCGCCACACGGGGACUGAGACACGGCCCAGCAUCCUACGGGAGGCAGCAGUGGGAAAUAUUGGACAAUGGGGGGAACCCUGAUCCAGCCAUGCCGCGUGUGUGAAGAAGGCCUUAUGGUUGUAAAGCACUUUAAGCGAGGAGGAGGCUCUUUUGGUUAAUACCCAAGAUGAGUGGACGUUACUCGCAGAAUAAGCACCGGCUAACUCUGUGCCAGCCGCCGCCGUAA